rnacentral:rRNA from 1 species
UGAGCAAUCUGCCCCUCACAUCGGAAUAACCAUUGGAAACGAUGGCUAAUACCGAAUAUGACUUCGGAUCGCAUGAUCUGAAGUGGAAAGCUCCGGCGGAGAAGGAUGAGCUCGCGGCCUAUCAGCUAGUUGGUGUGGGUAAUGGCCUACCAAGGCGACGACGGGUAGCUGGUCUGAGGGGAUGGCCAGCCACAUUGGAACUGAGAUACGGUCAGA